AACGAGACGGAGAGACGGAGAAAGAGAGGGAGAGACGAACGAUAAGUGGAAUAACUAAUUGAAAACGAGGCGAUAAAAUAACAAAAUCACUAUUAAAUCAUCGUGAUAAAAGAAAGCACUGUUACGAUAGAAUAUUAUACGCAACAAAUUUUUUUUUUUUUAUUUUAUUUUGGCUUUUUUUACAAUUUGUCCUUAUAGACAUUUGGUAAAGUGUUAUAUCUUAUUGAUGAAAAAAAUAAAAAUAAAUAUAGCAUGUGGGUGGCUACCCCCAGCGGGGUGCCAGCUUAGUUUUUUCUAAAUUAUAUCUUUUAUGAGGUCUAUUGGGUGUUUCCUUUUUAGUCUUCUUACGAUAUUAACAAAUUGACUCGUAUUUGCACUCUGUGUAAUUGUUCAAAUUUCAAUAGUUCCUCUUCGCAUAUAAUUAAGAAGAAUUGCUGAUCCAAGUUUGGUGCCCUUCCUGCACCAUACGAUACUUAUCCUUCUCUUCUUACCAAGAGAAACAGAACGGAGGAUAGAGAAGAACUUUAUGUACAAGCCAAACAACGUUUCCUUCAAUUUGCCUGUAGAGGUGCGAGCUGGAUAAAAUUCAAGCGCAAAAGAAACAUGUAAAUUGCGUCGAUAUUUGCUGAUUUCUGACCUCUAAUGAUCGUUGUAAAUUGACCAAGGAACAAGUUGCUCGACGAACGUUUACGCUAAACGAGCGUAGGCGAGUGCUGCUUCUCUAUGUUCUAUGGUCGUUUCGUCUAAUCUUAACACUCUAAACAAAGACCUCGAGAAGUACCUUCAUUGCCACCACAUGAUUUCUCGCCAGUAACAAGCAACAUUGCUAUCAAGUUCGGAUAGUUUGGCAGAGAUCAGACACACCCAACAAUUUGCGUGUACUACAUGCGCUACGUAGCUGCACACUAUCGUUAUUGAUCCAUACGCACCGUUCUCUCCUUCUCGCUUUAUCCCUUUUCUCCGGCUCCUGGCAUCGCACAGAUAUGGCCUUCUUCUCACGAUUUCUUAUCAACAACGAAUACUGGCAUGUAUGAAUAUUAACGUGGCUAACUGUAAUCGUGAACCGACCAGCACACCGGCACAAGAGUCGAGAACUUGGACCGAUACGACGGUAACCAGGAGAACUUUAAACAUUACAGAGAGAAAUAAAAGAAGGAUAGAUCAAUGGAGUUUGCAUUUUCCAAAUAUGAUAUAUUCUCGAGCGAGUUGGAGCGCAUCGAGAGAUGGAGGAAGAGUAUCCGCCAUCGCGACGGUCGUAGCUGGUUUUUAACGUCCGCCGAUUCGAAGGAAAGGCCGGAAAGGCCGUCGAUUAUUAUGCAGGCGACAGACAAUUGCCAACGCUUCCCCUAUUAACAUAUAGCGAGAGUAAAAACGUGGCUGAAAUACACGACGCAGUUGGUGCGUCGCUCCAGUACCAGCUUUGCCUGUACACUCAGAUUUUAAUAAUCCAAUGAGAUAAACAAGCAUACGUACUAUAAUAUAUAACACGCGACGAUAGAAAAUUCAAUCACAAAUUAUUUCUCUAUCGGUAAAGAAAUGCGGAUGAUUCGGAUGGGUGUCGGAGUAGCAUGUAAGAAAGAAAGGGUUUGGCCCACUGUCCACGAAACGUCGUUUCAUAGACGCUCCCAUGCAACGAUCGUUGUAAAGUAACGCGCACCUAGUCACGAAACAGCAGCGAACCGUUCUCGUUGUUACGCAUUUUCAUCAUGACGAUUGGCGUUAAUAUAGCGCGUUCUCUAGCUGUUACAAACUAAUGUAGCGAUAUAGGACGAAAGCGUUUUCUCGUUGCUCGAUAUUUUAACGACGGGUCGAAACGUAUCUCGCUGUACAUUUGGCAGAGUACUAUCGUCGUCGCGUCUGCACUCGUCUACACUGACAGGUUUUGUCUGCGUUCAUCGUCCGCCGACAGUCGACAGAAGAUGUCAAACGCUGUUUAAGGGCAACGUCGUUUGUCCAACAGCAUCGACGCGAUGGAACAAGCGAACAAUGUGACCAUCGCCGACCCUGAAGUACAAAGAAAAGACUACCUUAAACCUUUUAAAUGCUAUUAAUAGUCAUUAAUAAGUCAAUAAUAAUGAUAAACACUUACUUUGUAGAAUCAUGUAAAUAUAAUUUUUUUUUUUAUUUUAUUUUAUUUUGGUUAUUUUACAAUUUGUCCUUAUAGACAUUUGGUAAAGUGUUAUAUCUUAUUGGUGAAGAAAAAAAAAAAAAAUAAAAAUAAAUAUAGCAUGUGGGUGGCUACCCCCAGCGGGGUGUCAGCUUCGUUUUUUUCUAAGUUAUAUCUUUUAUG